UUAAGGUGAUCGCCGCACCACCCGUCGCUACACAGGUUAUCCAAGUACACAUCAUACAUGAAACAAUAAAUGUUGAAAGGAUGAUUCCCUUUCAUUAACCAUUUAUUUAUGUUUGUAUUUUGUGAAUAUAUAUGUAUUAAGUUACAUUUUACUGGUUUAUUUUCAAAUUAUAUAUUCAUCCUGAGCUUAUUCAAAAAAGACCAUUUUUGUUACCUACUUUUCUCACUUUGCCCAGUUAUGGCAUGUGAUGUGGGAACUACUUAAGGUCUUCUAUAAUGAGAUUAUAUAUGUAAUUAUUUGUCCUAUUGACUUGAUGUAUAGAUACUAUGACUAGAUAUUAUGUCAACAUCACAAGCAAAGAACAUAAGAUAAGGGAGCUACAAGAAGCUAUCAGGCCUACACAUGGCAGUUCCUAUAAGAGAGAUAAUUGAGAUAUAUUAAAUGCAUGCAUUCACUUAGAUAAGUAUUCCUUGAGAUUGUUUAGGGCUUUAUAGGGAUGAGGACCAAUCAUAUCCAACCAUGCUGUGAGAACCAGUUGUGCAGCAUUCUUGCAUCUCGUCACACAUUGUCCUGACAGAGAUAGGUUGUGUUCAGUAGCACAACACCCAACAAUAAUUUUAAGAGAAAAAGAAAAAGAAAGUAUAGAUGGCAACAAAGAACUUGAGCAACAAAUGUCAAAGUUGGUGCAUUGUGGAGGUGUCAAUAUGGCAUGUGGAUCACGGAUUGCAAUAUUUCGUUGGCAUUUUAUUUUCCGUUUUUGUGCUUCUGCACCCAGUAUAUUGUAAUAUCAGAAGGGAUUCAGGUAUGGUAAAUAGUCUCCUUUCUAUGUCAGUUUGUAUAUUUACAUGUUCAAAGGAUAAAAUAUGAUAUGUAUUACAAUAUUGCAGUUUUCUAUUUACUGUUCAGGUGUUAGAUGAAGUGUUUCAUGUGAUUGAUUUGGUUUACUCAACUACCCUGGUGUUUAAGUAUUGUAUCAUCACGUUACGAGUUGCACAAAGUAUUGCCAUUAACAGAAAACUCAAAACAUGCAAAUUGAUAUGAUGCUUUCAAAAAGAAUCCAGAAGGUAAUUAGUGACAGGUUUGGUGUUUACAAGAUAUGUAGAUGUAAAGCUUUUUUACAGCAGCAGCCAGGUCUUACUUGUAGAGUUCAAUUUUCUCUCACAUAUUCUACAUUUUGUGAAACAUUCCACUCUGAUGCUUUGUUAUGGUCAGCAUAGGUAGAGUCUAUUUGAAUGGCUGUUGCAAGAUGACAUGUGAACUUGUCAUACUGAUAACUAGCAUUAUACAAAGCAUUGUAGUUUUUCCAUGUUGACUAGCAGGAUAAAUAGUAUUGCAGGUUUUCCAUGAUAACUAGCAGUAUAGAUAGCAUUGCAGUUUUUCUAUUGUAAUUGGUGUAUAAAUAGCAUUGCAAUUUUUUUAAAUUUCUUCACAUCAUACAAUCUUCAUUUUUAGAUUGUUUUUUGUCAUUGAUCUCCAGGUUGUGUUGUUGCUGUGUAGAGUAUUACUGAAGUUAGUGUGUUGUCAUGUUGAAGUUCUUCAGACAAGGUAUGAAUCUUAUAAAUCUAGGACUCACUGCUGCAGGAGGUGUUUCUCCUGAAACCUGAUGGAAUUGCUCAAUGUCUUGUAGUAUUAAGCAAGCUGUAAGUUUGAAAAAUGUGGAGCUGUUCCAUUAUUUCCACCCUUAUAUCUUUCAUAAUUUUCAUACUCGCUUUGUCUAUAGAUUUACAUCAUGGCAUUAUUUAGGUUGAGAUAUACAUUGUGCUUGAUUGAGAUGAAAUCAAAUGACCUAUGUUGUUAGUCAUCAGGGUAUGUCCUUAUAGUCAUGGGGAACUUUAAAAAUAUAAGGUAAAUGUAUGUGAGGAUGAUAGCUGGAAAUGAUAAGAAUGUUUCAUACAAGGGCUGUCACAUGUAAGCUUGAUGGCUUCUUGCAGCCUCCCUUACUUUCUCAUGUUUUCUAAAUGUCAUUUGACAUCAUCAUGAGUGGUUUCUUAUCUCUGUAAGUAUUACUGGAGUAGUUGAAUAAUGCAGCUACUCAGGUAAGCAUGAUGUUCAUGGUUCAUGUGACUUAAUUAUGCAUAGACAGGAUAUCCCAGGUUAAUUUCUCAUGUCUAUCUUUGAAGGAGGAAUUUAAAGCAUCUAUGGAGGAGUAGGGAAUGUUGAUAUGUGUAGUAAGUUAGAAUGGUAGAAUGUAACGCUGUUAGAUUAUUGAUUUCCUGUGUAGAACGUGAUGGCAGAAAAAGGGACAUGGAAGAGUAAAGUGAUGCUGAAGAUGUAGGUGGACCUGGUACCCUCAUAAUAUGGAAGGACAGUGUAUUGAGAGUGAUUUUGACUAAUAUUUGAGUGAGAAUUGAGAUGAGUAAUGUUAGUGCAGCAGACUAGAAACAGGAAACUUGGCAGAUCUUUGAUGAGUGACAAAGAGCAACUAUCAGAUAGGAUUAUGAAUUACGUGAAGCAUUUUAUCACCAGCAAACACUGAUGGUUAAGGAGAAAAUGAAGAGACAGGUAAAGGGUAGUCAUGUGUGAUGGGGAAUUACUAUCUUAUUAGAGCAAAAUCAGAACCAACAUACAAAAGGGAAAUAUAUUCGAGAAUGCAAGGAUGAAGAAAUUUAUUGCGUCAUGAUAAAUUUCAGAUGGUCACUGUGAUGACAGGGAGUCAAGGUGCUAGGGUUGUAAAGUCUGCUGUAAGCUGUAGCUAAUGGAUCAUGUCAACAGGUAAACUGAGGCAGUGUGUAUAAUAAAGAUAUAUAGUGAAAAAAAAAAAUGCAUAGUAAAAGGAUUUUAUUGUUAAGGAAUAGAAGAUGGCAAGGAGGAUACUAAUUUGAUUACAGCAAAUUUAAGAGCUUAGCCAUAUUUGUGGAUUUGGGUGACAGUUGAAGAAUGAUUUGAGCAUAGGUAUGUAGGUAGGUGUAUAUAGGUAUUAUAGAUGAACUAUGUCGUGUAUAGAUCUGACUUACUGCAGCCCUUCAUAUCUCAUGUCCUUAUAUUCCUUUUUAUUAUAUAUAAAUCAAAAGAUGUGCUAAGGGAUUUAUGUAUGAUCUCUCUCUCUCUCUCUCUCUCUCUCUCUCUCUCUCUCUCUCUCUCUCUCUCUCUCUCGGCGAGAACUGAGAAGAGUGAUGAAGCUUAGGAAGUGAGUGUAUUCGUGUGUAGGUCUUGAAGAAUCAUUAACUGCCUUGUUCCUGUGUUCUACGUAUUUGCUCUGUCCAUUUCAGUUUCCAGCAGAUGGCACACGACAGCUACAGUGAGGCAGUCUACAGUGAUGCAAAUGGAACCGAAAGCUUUGGACCAGCACUAGGCAGCGAGCGUCGUUCUUCCCUUCUUCCCUCUCUCAAAUAAUUCCUCAUCCCGUUCUCCUUCAGGAUUUUCAAAACUUGCAACCCUAACCACACAGAUGCGCGAGGUAAGAACGUAACUUGAUCUCCGUACAAAACAAAGAUUCUUGCUUGUCAUGUGUGAGUUUUUUACGGGCUGUUUUUUUGGUAAUCAGUUGUUUGAUUGUCUGAGCUGAUGGCGACGCAAAACUGUGUCAUUUGAUGUUGUGUGUGUAUAUAAUAUAAUAUUGUCAUCAAGCUGGCCGGGUGUUGCAUUAAGGAUCUUUGCUCACUUAGUUACGAUGUUCAGUAUUAAAGUCAUGGUAUGAGUAAAGGUGUCAGGGGAACUUGAAAGGUUUUAAAGGACGUGUAA